rnacentral:lncRNA from 1 species
UUUUUUUUUUUUUUUUUUUUGGGUGGAGAAUUUCCUUUUUUUUUGGUACGAUUAAAGGAGAAUUUCCAAGUGGAGGUAUGUUUGUGGUUGACUUCACUGACUCAACUAGUUAAGUUGUGGGGGCUUAGGGUUAGAACUUAGAGGGGGUAGAGGAUGUUGACUUUUUUCCCUUUGAGGAAGUUGACUUCCCUUAAUGUAUUUUUAAAUCAUAUCCCUCUUACUUUCUUUCACUUUCUUUCUUUCUCAUUCUUUGUUGGGACCUUUUUAUUUUUUAUUUUUUUGGGAGUGCAUUGUCAACUCUUCCUCUUUCUAUUACCUUCUUCCACUCAGCCUUUUCCUUUUUGGAUUUAAUAUUGUUUUCUCUCUUUUUUUUUUGGUUUGGAUGCUUGGUAGGAUGUGGCUUGGGAAGUUUCGGUGCAAGAAGGGAGAACGUGUGGAACUAAAAAACGGUUAAAUACAGUUGGCAACGCUUUGACAAUGCAACAAAGAAUUGAAUAAUUCACAGAUAUUUGAAAAGGAGAUAAAAGUAAAACCGCUAGUGUAGUGUAUAGUGUAUACCCUAUCCCAAAUCAGCCGUGUAUUUUACUGCUUAGGCAAGUACUCCGCCGUAUAACACUUGGAAGUUUCUAAUUCUAGGCGCAUGUCCUUCAGAAAAAAUUCUAGCCGCACGGUUGGGAUGUCACACACCAUUUUUUUUUCAACAGCCUGAAUCAGACUUUUGUUGUUUUAUAAACCUAAUCCCAGAAUUAACCUCAAAAGCCGGCAACUCUUGAGGCAAUCCCAGGGACUUAUAUCCCAACCCAAACCCAACCCCAACCCCGAUGUGGGACAAAUGUACCUAUAGGGGGGACCUGCUGCUAAGUGGGAUACUACCACCCAAUACCCUUUCAACCCUGAGGCAAUUUGUCUUUUUUCAACAGCCUGAAUCAGACUUUUGUUGUUUUAUAAACCUAAUCCCGUCACACACCAUUAAUUAUCCACUUUGUGAACAUUCUAUUCCAAAAAGCUUCUGUGGAUUGGAUGGUAUUCAACCACCAGCGUUUGGGUUAGUGGCCACCACUUAGCUUGGUAGGGUAGCCUCCCCACCAAAAUGUCAUAUUUAAGUGGUUUAUUUCAAAAAAUUCAGCCGGAUGUGUACACUCAUUUGGUCCGAUGGUGAUUUAAUCCUCUCCGAGUUAUUCCUGAGCCUCCUUAGGUCCGCCCCCUCCCCCUUAGUGUAGAAUAGAUUAGGUUAUACAACUGUUGUCGUUUCCAAAAAAAAAAAAAAGAAAAAAAAAGAUUGGAUGGUAUUCGGUGAUAAAAUAUAAGUGAAAGAUGCUGAAUUCAAAACCUCCUAUUCACAUUUAAAAAAAAAUUUUGAUACUGAAUUCAAGACUUCUUAUUCACAAAAAAAAAUUCUGUCUAUAUCAUUAGUAUGAAUUCGGAGGAAUAAAAUUGGCCCAAUUAGUAUUGUACUAAAAAACCUAGGCCCAGCUUGAUUACAUUUUUUUUUUCACUGACAAUCAAAUAUCUUCAUACUUUGUUCUGCUAAUUAUACAUGUAGUUUUUGACUAGUAUCUAGACAGUCUUAUUUUGGUCCAAUGUUAGGAAUUAAACGGUUGAUACACAAUAUUAUAAACCUAAUAUCAUGUAGAAGUUAUUUCUCUCAUCCGAAAACACAUCCUAUUGAUAUAUAUUAGUUGAAAAAAAGGGGAAAAAAAACGAUAUUUACGCAUCCCUCUUUGAUAUUCAUGCAUUCUCACCAACUUAAAUUGGCCUUGAAUGUAAUGAAAAUUGAAGUGGUCAUAAUGUGUGGAUGCCAAAUAGAAACUUGUGAAUAUCUUUUUUUUUUUUUUUUCAAAUAUUAGUUGGUGCGCAGUUUAUGUUAGCGAGUCUUUUUUGAGAAAUAUGAAACACGGGCACUUGAUUGCAAAUAAAAAAUAUGGCUGUAAUCUAGAAAAUAAAAAGUAAUACUACUCCGAACAUAUUUAGAACAUCAAUCCCUACGUUUUAUAACUCUGCUAAUUGUUCUUGAGGUCCCUUGGUACUUCUAUAUCCACCCUAAUCAUUUCCUACCUCCAUUUCGGUUGAAUGGAGAAUAACUUGGUUCACAAUAUUUCUACAUAUUUUUAUCCAUCAAACAUCUAAAAUGCAUUUUGAUCAAGACAUUUUCAUGACUUUCGUUCCUGCUGCCUCAUGCAUCUGCUAUCAUACUCUGAAUUUUGCCAACAAGCAAACUGGAUCCUACCACUAGUUUAUCCUUCACCAUCACCCUCACCCUCACCCUCACCCUUUAUGUUUUUUUGGAUCGCCUACCUAUUUAUUUCUGUGAAAACAUAUUUACUGUGUUUGGUUCUACUUGUCAACUUCUCAUAACUCCUGUAAUUUGGUUAAAUAGAUCUUUAAACUGGGAAGAUAUGUAGACUGUAACCUAAUAAUAUACCAAAGAAAUGCUCUCAUAAAUCAGAGAAAUCAGAAAGAUACAGCAAUACCUAAAACACUUUUUUCUCUUCCUUUCUUUCUUGGCAAGGAAAAAGGGCAGCUACAAGUACAACCAGAAAAGCCUAAACGCAGAAAAUUGUCAACCUUUUCAUGUCAUGCCAGUAAUGCCAAUACAACAUUUGAAACAAAAUGUCUCCUAAAAUAAAGCAAAACAUGUUUAGGGCAUGGUUUUUAACUUGUAAUCAGUGAAACCACUGAAAACCUCAACAGUUUAGCAACUCAAACAAAUGCCAUAACAGCAGCGCCAUUGACACAAGUACUUCUGUGAGAAAACGUACUAAAGCAGAUUCCCUUGAUCAGGUCUAGUUAACAGGUUUUUUUUUCACAUUCUAUCUUCCCUCCUGCGUGGGGCACAAGUAAUGAUUUCAUCAACUCUUAAAAUCAUCUCAGCAGCCUCAGUUGCAGAGAGUAACACAGCUUGCUUAACUUUAAAUGCUUCAGAGAUUCCAAGCUCUGCCAUAUCUCCUACCUGUCAAGAUCACAAAAUACAUUUAUUUGGCAUAGACUGACACUAGAAAUUGGUGCGAGUUACAUAAUUUCACUCUAUAGGAAUAAUUAUCGACAAAGCUUUAAUUCACAUCAUCAAUGGUUCAAAUGGCAAUCAGAUCUCCAAUGAACAAACCAUAGCCUAGUUGUCCACUAUUUCACUUACAGAUCCAGAUAUGACAUCAAUCCCUGCAGCGCUUCCUUCCUCGUGAUGUUCUGCACGGAGUUGGGAAACCAAUUCAGCACUGUCCAGACCUGCAUUAUCAGCAAUAAUAGUUGGAAUGGCCAAUAAUGCUCGUGAGAAAGCUUCAAUGGCAUGAGACUUUUUCCCAGGGGUCUUCCUAGCUAGUUCAUCCACUGCUUUUGCCAUCACCAUCUCUGGCCAUCCACCUCCAAACAACACUCUACUGUCAUUUACAGUCUGAGAUAAGACACAC